GUGCGCACGAGAGGACGGAAGGACGGCCGCUGAGGGGGAAGGAAGGAGCCGCUGACUGAGGAGAAGCUCGUGAGGACCGCCGCUUGCCGACCCCGUCGUCGUCGUCAUCGUCAUGUCCCGCUUGGGAGCCGCCUUGCUGCGGGCGGCGGGCCCGAGGGCUCGUUUCCUGGAGGGCUCAGGCCUCUUUCAACAAUGGAAGGCUCCCUCUGAAGGACAACCUUGCAGACAAAUGACCACCUCUAGCUAUGCAUGGCGGCACAACAAAACCCUCUAUACCGUUAUAGCAAUAACCCUCUUUGGAAUUGGAAAUGCGUUCUAUGGAUAUGAAAUUAUGAGAAGAGCUCGACAGCGUGAUGUGGAUCGCGCAGAGAGGUACGAACGCAUGGAGAGCCAGAUGAAGGCACUUAAGCAUUAAGGACUUGACAGCACCAGAAUCAAUAUCAACUAAAGCUACAUCCAAUUACUCAUCUCCCCUGGCUCUUCAAAGUGGUAAAUAAUUCAAUUAAUAUGGGGAAUGUAAGUC